UACGGAGGGUGCGAGCGUUGUCCGGAAUCACUGGGCGUAAAGGGCGCGUAGGCGGCCUGAUAAGUAGGGGGUGAAAUCCUGCGGCUUAACCGCAGGGCUGCCUUCUAAACUGUCAGGCUAGAGCACAGUAGAGGCAGGUGGAAUUCCUGGUGUAGCGGUGGAAUGCGUAGAGAUCCGGAAGAACACCGGUGGCGAAGGCGGGUCUCUGGGCCGUAACUGACGCUGAGGAGCGAAAGCCAGGGGAGCAAACGGG
rnacentral:rRNA from 1 species